rnacentral:ncRNA from 1 species
GAUUAAGUUAUUAAGGGCGCACGGUGGAUGCCUUGGCACUAGAAGCCGAUGAAGGACGUUACUAACGACGAUAUGCUUUGGGUAGCUGUAAGUAAGCGUUGAUCCAGAGAUUUCCGAAUGGGGGAACCCAGCAUGAGUUAUGUCAUGUUAUCGACAUGUGAAUUUCAUAGCAUGUCAGAAGGCAGACCCGGAGAACUGAAACAUCUUAGUACCCGGAGGAAGAGAAAGAAAAAUCGAUUCCCUGAGUAGCGGCGAGCGAAACGGGAAUAGCCCAAACCAACAAGCUUGCUUGUUGGGGUUGUAGGACACUCUAUACGGAGUUACAAAAGAACAUGUUAGACGAAUCAUCUGGAAAGAUGAAUCAAAGAAGGUAAUAAUCCUGUAGUCGAAAACAUAUUCUCUCUUGAGUGGAUCCUGAGUACGACGGAGCACGUGAAAUUCCGUCGGAAUCUGGGAGGACCAUCUCCUAAGGCUAAAUACUCUCUAGUGACCGAUAGUGAACCAGUACCGUGAGGGAAAGGUGAAAAGUACCCCGGAAGGGGAGUGAAAGAGAACUUGAAACCGUGUGCUUACAAGUAGUCAGAGCCCGUUAAUGGGUGAUGGCGUGCCUUUUGUAGAAUGAACCGGCGAGUUACGAUCUGAUGCAAGGUUAAGCAGCAAAUGUGGAGCCGCAGCGAAAGCGAGUCUGAAUAGGGCGUUGAGUAUUUGGUCGUAGACCCGAAACCAGGUGAUCUACCCUUGGUCAGGUUGAAGUUCAGGUAACACUGAAUGGAGGACCGAACCGACUUACGUUGAAAAGUGAGCGGAUGAACUGAGGGUAGCGGAGAAAUUCCAAUCGAACUUGGAGAUAGCUGGUUCUCUCCGAAAUAGCUUUAGGGCUAGCCUCAAGUGAUGAUUAUUGGAGGUAGAGCACUGUUUGGACGAGGGGCCCCUCUCGGGUUACCGAAUUCAGACAAACUCCGAAUGCCAAUUAAUUUAACUUGGGAGUCAGAACAUGGGUGAUAAGGUCCGUGUUCGAAAGGGAAACAGCCCAGACCACCAGCUAAGGUCCCAAAAUAUAUGUUAAGUGGAAAAGGAUGUGGCGUUGCCCAGACAACUAGGAUGUUGGCUUAGAAGCAGCCAUCAUUUAAAGAGUGCGUAAUAGCUCACUAGUCGAGUGACACUGCGCCGAAAAUGUACCGGGGCUAAACAUAUUACCGAAGCUGUGGAUUGUCCUUUGGACAAUGGUAGGAGAGCGUUCUAAGGGCGUCGAAGCAUGAUCGCAAGGACAUGUGGAGCGCUUAGAAGUGAGAAUGCCGGUGUGAGUAGCGAAAGACGGGUGAGAAUCCCGUCCACCGAUUGACUAAGGUUUCCAGAGGAAGGCUCGUCCGCUCUGGGUUAGUCGGGUCCUAAGCUGAGGCCGACAGGCGUAGGCGAUGGAUAACAGGUUGAUAUUCCUGUACCACCUAGUAUCGUUUUAAUCGAUGGGGGGACGCAGUAGGAUAGGCGAAGCGUGCUGUUGGAGUGCACGUCCAAGCAGUAAGGCUGAGUGUUAGGCAAAUCCGGCACUCAUAAGGCUGAGCUGUGAUGGGGAGAGGAAAUUGUUUCCUCGAGUCGUUGAUUUCACACUGCCGAGAAAAGCCUCUAGAUAGAUAACAGGUGCCCGUACCGCAAACCGACACAGGUAGUCAAGAUGAGAAUUCUAAGGUGAGCGAGCGAACUCUCGUUAAGGAACUCGGCAAAAUGACCCCGUAACUUCGGGAGAAGGGGUGCUCUUUAGGGUUCACGCCCAGAAGAGCCGCAGUGAAUAGGCCCAAGCGACUGUUUAUCAAAAACACAGGUCUCUGCUAAACCGUAAGGUGAUGUAUAGGGGCUGACGCCUGCCCGGUGCUGGAAGGUUAAGAGGAGUGGUUAGCUUCUGCGAAGCUACGAAUCGAAGCCCCAGUAAACGGCGGCCGUAACUAUAACGGUCCUAAGGUAGCGAAAUUCCUUGUCGGGUAAGUUCCGACCCGCACGAAAGGCGUAACGAUUUGGGCACUGUCUCAACGAGAGACUCGGUGAAAUCAUAGUACCUGUGAAGAUGCAGGUUACCCGCGACAGGACGGAAAGACCCCGUGGAGCUUUACUGUAGCCUGAUAUUGAAAUUCGGCACAGCUUGUACAGGAUAGGUAGGAACCUUUGAAACGUGAGCGCUAGCUUACGUGGAGGCGUUGGUGGGAUACUACCCUAGCUGUGUUGGCUUUCUAACCCGCACCACUUAUCGUGGUGGGAGACAGUGUC